GUGGAUGGAAUGAGGGAGCAGACUCAUGGAUCUGUUGAAGACAGUAGCGUUUCUAUAGAAAAGAGCUGUGCAUGCACAGUAGCAAAAGCAAAGAGGCCUGAUUGGGAGUACUCCAUUGAUGCAACACACAGUGGCACAACAUAUUCUACUGUCAACCCACUGAGGUUUGCACAGAAGCUCAGACAAGACCCCUGCAAAGACCCAGAUGUACAUCUAAACAGGGAUUUGCAUGACAGGUGGGAGAGGUCUUUGUUGUCAGCAUCAGCAGCCACAAGAGGAGCUGGCAGAAGUUAUGACAACUGAGUAGCUCCAGGGCAUUAACUGUGAAGCUGCAGGUUCACCUGCAAGAGGGCGGGGAAUCGGCAAAUUGAGGUCAAAGCUACGCUCAAUGAGAAGACAGCAGAGGAGAAGACCUAGUUUUCGGUUAGCAGAGCAGAGAGCCGAGGGAGGAGGAGCAUCACUGCGAAAACCUUUGCCAGCAUUUGUCCAUCCAGCAGCCAGCAGUCAUGGCAGCUGGAUGGAGGUUCAGCUGAAGAGCUUGUCCUUGAAGUUACUUCACCCUUAAGAAGGCAAUUCUUGAAAUGGACAGACUGCAUCACUCCAAUGUGAGGGGCCUUUAACAUCUUAAUGAUUUUUUUUUUCAAUCGUAUACACUACCUAUUUAAAGUAAAUAGUUCAACAAUUCUGUAAUACCAGACUAUAAAGGUGGAAUAUAAAUGUUUAUAAUGUUUGAUGUGUUUCUUUCCUUUCCUAGUCAGAAUGUCCUGAAUGACAUUUUUCGUGUUGUUAAGUUGAACAAAUUAUUGGCUUAAAGUAAUAAUAAUCUAUAUUUCAUGGUUAAGUUUCUUUACACUGUUUUCUAUAAAAGUGUAGCACUUUUGUUUGGAGUCACAAAAAGCAUCUUCUCCUAGAGCAAUAGACCCACAAGCCAAACUCCAAAAUCUUAAUGAGUGUACCCAGAUAGACAAGAAAUUGCAUCCAAAUAAAAGAAUAAUAAAGGCAUCUAAACCGUAA